GAGAACCUAUGGGGCGCAGCAGUGGGGAAUAUUGCACAAUGGGGGAAACCCUGAUGCAGCGACGCCGCGUGGGUGAAGAAGUACUUCGGUACGUAAAGCCCUAUCAGCAGGGAAGAAAAUGACGGUACCUGAUUAAGAAGCCCCGGCUAACUACGUGCCAGCAGCCGCGGUAAUACGUAGGUGGCGAGCGUUAUCCGGAAUGAUUGGGCGUAAAGGGAGCGCAGGCGGUCCUGCAAGUCUGGAGUGAAACGCAUGAGCUCAACUCAUGCAUGGCUUUGGAAACUGGAGGACUGGAGAGCAGGAGG
rnacentral:rRNA from 1 species